CCCCCCCCCCCCCCCCCCCCCCCCCCCCCCCCCCCCCCCCCCCCCCCCCCCCCCCCCCCCCCCCCCCCCCCAAGCCCCCCCUAAUUCGCCCCCAAACCCCCGGUGCCCCCCCAGCUGGUUCGACAAGUCCUUCACGCUCGUGGUCUACAAGAACGGCAAGGUCGGGGCCAACGCCGAGCACUCGUGGGCCGACGCCCCCAUCGUGGGGCACCUCUGGGAGGUACCGGGGCAGGGGGGCACCCCAGGACGGGGACACCCCCACAAUGGGGGCACCCCCAGGACGGGGACACCCCCACUGGGGCACCCCCACAAUGGGGACACCCCCAGAACGCGGACACCCCCCAUAGGGCACUCCUGGAGCUCACUGGGACACCCCCAAUGUGGCACUCCUGGAGUGGGGACACCCCAACAAUGAGGGUACCCCACAAUGGGGACACCCCCAGAGUGCGGACACCCCCAGAACUGGGGUACCCCACAAUGGGGACGCCCCCAGAACGGGGACACCCUCACUGGGACACCCCCAGUGUGGCACUCCUGGAGUGGGGACACCCCCACAAUGAGGGUACCCCCAGAACGGGGACACCCCCACUGGGGCACCCCCAGAAUGGGGACACCCCCCAUAGGGCACUCCUGGAGUGGGGAUACCCCCAGAACGGGGACACCCCCAUUGGGGACACCCCCAGUGGGACACUCCUGGAGUGGGGACACCCCCACAAUGAGGGUACCCCACAAUGGGGAUACCCCCAGAGUGCGGACACCCCCAGAACUGGGGUACCCCACAAUGGGGACGCCCCCAGAACGGGGACACCCCCACAGUGGGGACACCCUCACUGGGGGACCCCCAGAAUGGGGACACCCCUGGAGUGGGGACACCCCCAGUNACACGGAGGGGGGGCACUGCAAGGGGGACCCCAGGACGCAGCUGAGCCCCCCCCAGCGCCUGCAGUGGGACAUCCCGCCCGAGGGGGUGGCAGCCAUCGAGGCGUCCCUGCUUGUGGCACAGGUGUGGUACAGGUACAGAUCUGGUACAGGUACAGGUGUGGUACAGGUGUGGCACAGGUGUGGGUACAGGUACAGCUGUGGCACAGGUAAAGGUGAGGGUGCCAUGCUGUGCCAUGUCCCCAGGGGAUGGCAGCCAUCAAGGCGUCCCUGUGGGUGGCACAGGUGUGGUACAGGUGUGGUACAGGUGUGGCACAGGUAAAGGUGUGGGUCCAGGUACAGGUGUGGCACAGGUACAGGUGUG
rnacentral:lncRNA from 1 species